rnacentral:rRNA from 1 species
GACGAACGCUGGCGGCGUGCCUAAUACAUGCAAGUAGAACGCUGAAGGAGGAGCUUGCUCUUCUGGAUGAGUUGCGAACGGGUGAGUAACGCGUAGGUAACCUGCCUGGUAGCGGGGGAUAACUAUUGGAAACGAUAGCUAAUACCGCAUAACAGUAGAUGUUGCAUGACAUUUGCUUAAAAGGUGCAAUUGCACCACUACCAGAUGGACCUGCGUUGUAUUAGCUAGUUGGUGGGGUAACGGCUCACCAAGGCGACGAUACAUAGCCGACCUGAGAGGGGGAUCGGCCACACUGGGACUGAGACACGGCCCAGACUCCUACGGGAGGCAGCAGUAGGGAAUCUUCGGCAAUGGACGGAAGUCUGACCGAGCAACGCCGCGUGAGUGAAGAAGGUUUUCGGAUCGUAAAGCUCUGUUGUAAGAGAAGAACGAGUGUGAGAGUGGAAAGUUCACACUGUGACGGUAGCUGACCAGAAAGGGACGGCUAACUACGUG